rnacentral:lncRNA from 1 species
GGAUGCUCUUGCCAUCUCAGCUGAAGUUGAACCACAGCAAAAAGCAAAUAUUGGUGUUUAAAUACAGAAAAUAACCCCAUACUCUUUCAUUUAUUUUUUAGGAAAUCUGGAAAAUGGCACACUCUGAACCAGGGCAGAGUGUGCAUUUUCCCACUUUGCUGAAUUCCUGCAGGGAGAGAUGCAAAACCCAGCUGGAUGUGAGGGAACCAUCAGCACGAGCUCCUGAGCCAAAAUAGGAGCUGAAGCCCCAGAAAGUGGUGGGGUAGAGCUGUGAAUCCUAGCAACAGGCGGGGAAAGAACUGUACGUUUCCUCACGUCCUCCAAGUGUUGGUGCCUUCUGGUACAUCAUUGACAGGAAGAGACACAGACCAUGGAAAGGCCCUCCUUGCUGAUGCAUCAAGAAAGGGCACAUUUUUUCCAGUGGGAUGGGUAGCAAAGGAAAGUGGUGCUUUGAAGAAUAAACCCCUCUGCCUUCAGAACGAAGCUCAGGCUGCACAGGAGGCUGGAGCGACUUACAGAUUCUAUUCAGGCUCCUCUCUGGGCAUGCUGGGUGACCUUGUGUUCUCCCAUUUUCCUCUGGGGGAGAUAUUAUUUAUCCCUGAUAAUAAAACACAGGAUUCUUCAACUGCGACUCGUGGUUUAAUCUAUUGUGUCAACUUACACAAGCUCCCUUGGAAAAAAAGGAAGAUCAGAGGCAAUAAAAGGAGUAAAAAAUGAAGCAUCUUUAACUGAAGUCAUACAACUUUCAUCUGAGGUCAGGCCCACGAUGCCCUGACGGUGCAGGGUGGGAUCUCCAGAGAGGAGCAUCCCAGGGAUGGCCUUUGAGAGUGGGUGGCAGCUCUUGCACAGUGCCCAUCAGGCUUGGAGACCCCUCAGCUUUGGGUACAAACCCAGCAAGCAGCAGGAAGGCUGAGCCCAGCCUCUGACAGGGCAGUCAGCACUGGCUAAUGAAAGGAGGGGUUCAGAAAAAAUGCUGGAAGUAUCUGUGCAAACAUCCCUUCUCCAUGCACCUCUGCAGAUGGGGCUCUAAAAAGAGUCCCUCUGUUGAAGUCCUGUCUCUGCUUCUCUAGAUGAAACAAAUGGUCCCACAAAAGUUCACACAUCACUAAACAUCCCAAGGAGACUGAAUUUCAGUUUAUUGCCUUAUCUUGGGACUUUUAAAUAUCUUUUUCAGUUCCAGCAUGAAAGCAGUCCUGAUCCAGAGUGCAGCAGGACUCAUUUGCUCUCCUCUGACUUGGUUUUGGAGGGAUCUGUGAGAUUUUUCCAGGGACAACUGUCAAAUUCUUCUCCCAGUCCGCUUGCUGAGGUGAGGCAUUGCCAUCAGCACUGUUGGCAUGGGCAGGUUUGAUCAAAUUUGUUAGGGAGAUGUUGGUAAAAGCAAUGACCCAAUAUUGCAAUUAAAGGAAAGGGUGAAUACCUAUUCCCAGAAAAGUCUGGGAAAAGCAAUACAGAGGACUUUGGAAAAUUUAUCUUGGGAGUGCAAGCAGGGAUUAGUAUGCCUACUUGCUGAAUUUUGCACCCAGAGGUCAAAUAUGGAUUUUACUUGGAUCUCUCAGCUUCAAAGGUCAGAUCUGAAUAUGAAGCUUCUUUCUGCUUAAGGACAAGACAGAGACACUGCAGGUACCAGUGACCUGGAAGCAGGAUUCCCACUUUCUACCAUCCACAGAAUUUCCAGAAAUCACUUUGCAUUACAUUUUGGACUUAGAUGCUCAGUUAAUUCCCCACAGAUCCCCGUUAAAGUGCCUCAGUGCAUUGCCUGGCUUUUUUUUUUUUUUUUAACUUAACUUUAUUUUUAUAAACUUCUCAAGUUUUGACUCAGUCACUUGCCUGGGAGGCUGCUGUGUGAAGGUGCAUGAGGAUGGACUGGAGCAUUUAAAUGGAGGCCCCCAAACAGGAGCAUUUUUCCCUUAAUCUUCCCACACCACUGGGAAUAAUAAUUCCUCGCAGGGCUGUUGCACAGCUUGAUUCAUUAAGGCUUAUGAAGUGCUUUUAGCUCCAGCACUGAAAGGCUCUGAGCAAGUUAUUUUGGACUGCUCAGGUGUUAGGAGGAGAGGCAUUGCAGAAGGAAUACAAAUAAAUCAAGAGAAACUGCCCCUUCCUUCCA